AACGAACGCUGGCGGCAGGCCUAACACAUGCAAGUCGAACGGGUGUAGCAAUACAUCAGUGGCGCACGGGUGAGUAACGCGUGGGAACGUGCCCUUCACUACGGAACAACGUCGGGAAACUGACGCUAAUACCGUAUAAUGUCUCCGGACCAAAGAUUUAUCGGUGAAGGAUCGGCCCGCGUCUGAUUAGCUAGUUGGUGAGGUAAAAGCUCACCAAGGCGACGAUCAGUAGCUGGUUUGAGAGAAUGAUCAGCCACACUGGGACUGAGACACGGCCCAGACUCCUACGGGAGGCAGCAGUGAGGAAUCUUGGACAAUGGGCGCAAGCCUGAUCCAGCCAUGCCGCGUGAGUGAUGAAGGCCUUAGGGUUGUAAAGCUCUUUUGGCGGGGAUGAUAAUGACCGUACCCGCAGAAUAAACCACGGCUAAAUUCGUGCCAGCAGCCGCGGUAAAGUCUGUACU
rnacentral:rRNA from 1 species